rnacentral:rRNA from 1 species
GCCCCGGUAAACGGCGGCCGUAACUAUAACGGUCCUAAGGUAGCGAAAUUCCUUGUCGGGUAAGUUCCGACCUGCACGAAUGGCGUAAUGAUGGCCAGGCUGUCUCCACCCGAGACUCAGUGAAAUUGAACUCGCUGUGAAGAUGCAGUGUACCCGCGGCAAGACGGAAAGACCCCGUGAACCUUUACUAUAGCUUGACACUGAACAUUGAGCCUUGAUGUGUAGGAUAGGUGGGAGGCUUUGAAGUGUGGACGCCAGUCUGCAUGGAGCCGACCUUGAAAUACCACCCUUUAAUGUUUGAUGUUCUAACGUUGGCCCGUAAUCCGGGUUGCGGACAGUGUCUGGUGGGUAGUUUGACUGGGGCGGUCUCCUCCUAAAGAGUAACGGAGGAGCACGAAGGUUGGCUAAUCCUGGUCGGACAUCAGGAGGUUAGUGCAAUGGCAUAAGCCAGCUUGACUGCGAGCGUGACGGCGCGAGCAGGUGCGAAAGCAGGUCAUAGUGAUCCGGUGGUUCUGAAUGGAAGGGCCAUCGCUCAACGGAUAAAAGGUACUCCGGGGAUAACAGGCUGAUACCGCCCAAGAGUUCAUAUCGACGGCGGUGUUUGGCACCUCGAUGUCGGCUCAUCACAUCCUGGGGCUGAAGUAGGUCCCAAGGGUAUGGCUGUUCGCCAUUUAAAGUGGUACGCGAGCUGGGUUUAGAACGUCGUGAGACAGUUCGGUCCCUAUCUGCCGUGGGCGCUGGAGAACUGAGGGGGGCUGCUCCUAGUACGAGAGGACCGGAGUGGACGCAUCACUGGUGUUCGGGUUGUCAUGCCAAUGGCACUGCCCGGUAGCUAAAUGCGGAAGAGAUAAGUGCUGAAAGCAUCUAAGCACGAAACUUGC